rnacentral:lncRNA from 1 species
CAGACUGUUAAUAACGUCUUUACUCUUAAUCCAUUGGAAGUAAGAUGUGUUUUAAUAGAUACUUUAUUCUAAGAUACAUGUUUUGUUUUAGUCUUAUUGGCAUUUGACUAGCUAUCAGUAACUGCAGUUUAUUCUAUGGAUAAAUUUCUGCAGUAAAUUGAGAGUUCUGAUGCUGUUAAAUUAAUACCGUUGGUGUUCUUUACCAUCUCAUCAUAGUCCCAAAAUGUAAAUCUGAAAUCUUGUUCAUAUAAAAAAAAAGUUGAGAAGACAUUAUUUAUGUGGACGGUCUGACAUAAUGGGUAUUGCAUGUACCUGUAUGAUAAUCAGAUUUUGAUAUUUUGUUGCAAUUUGAAAUAUGGAAAUUAUACGCACGGUUUGUUAUGUCUCAU